rnacentral:rRNA from 1 species
GACGAACGCUGGCGGCGUGCUUAACACAUGCAAGUCGAACGGAAAGGCCCUGCUUUUGUGGGGUGCUCGAGUGGCGAACGGGUGAGUAACACGUGAGUAACCUGCCCUUGACUUUGGGAUAACUUCAGGAAACUGGGGCUAAUACCGGAUAGGAGCUCCUGCUGCAUGGUGGGGGUUGGAAAGUUUCGGCGGUUGGGGAUGGACUCGCGGCUUAUCAGCUUGUUGGUGGGGUAGUGGCUUACCAAGGCUUUGACGGGUAGCCGGCCUGAGAGGGUGACCGGGCACAUUGGGCCUGAGAGAGGGCCCAGAGUCGUACGGGGGGCAGCGGUGGGGAAUAUUGCACAAUGGGCGGAAGCCUGAUGCAGCAACGCCGCGUGCGGGAUGACGGCCUUCGGGUGGUAAACCGCUUUCGCCUGUGACGAAGCGUGAGUGACGGUAAUGGGUAAAGAAGCACCGGCUAACUACGUG